AUUGAACGCUGGCGGCAUGCUUUACACAUGCAAGUCGAACGGUAACAGGGUGCUUGCACCGCUGACGAGUGGCGAACGGGUGAGUAAUGCGUCGGAACGUGCCGAGUAGUGGGGGAUAACGCAGCGAAAGUUGUGCUAAUACCGCAUACGUACUGAGGUAGAAAGUGGGGGACCUUCGGGCCUCACGCUAUUCGAGCGGCCGACGUCUGAUUAGCUAGUAGGUGAGGUAAAGGCUCACCUAGGCGACGAUCAGUAGCGGGUCUGAGAGGAUGAUCCGCCCCACUGGGACUGAGACACGGCCCAGACUCCUACGGGAGGCAGCAGUGGGGAAUUUUGGACAAUGGGCGAAAGCCUGAUCCAGCCAUGCCGCGUGUCUGAAGAAGGCCUUCGGGUUGUAAAGGACUUUUGUCGGGGAGGAAAUCCCCAGCGUUAAUACCGCUGGGGGAUGACAGUACCUGAAGAAUAAGCACCGGCUAACUACGUGCCAGCCGCCGCCGUAA
rnacentral:rRNA from 1 species